rnacentral:rRNA from 1 species
AUUAGAUCUCAAAUCAGGUAGGACUACCCGCUGAACUUAAGCAUAUCAAUAAGCGGAGGAAAAGAAACUAACAAGGAUUCCCCUAGUAGCGGCGAGCGAAGCGGGAAGAGCUCAAAUUUAUAAUCUGGCACCUUCGGUGUCCGAGUUGUAAUCUCUAGAAAUGUUUUCCGCGUUGGACCGCACACAAGUCUGUUGGAAUACAGCGGCAUAGUGGUGAGACCCCCGUAUAUGGUGCGGACGCCCAGCGCUUUGUGAUACAUUUUCGAAGAGUCGAGUUGUUUGGGAAUGCAGCUCAAAUUGGGUGGUAAAUUCCAUCUAAAGCUAAAUAUUGGCGAGAGACCGAUAGCGAACAAGUACCGUGAGGGAAAGAUGAAAAGCACUUUGGAAAGAGAGUUAACAGUACGUGAAAUUGUUGGAAGGGAAACGCUUGAAGUCAGACUUGCUUGCCGAGCAAUCGGUUUGCAGGCCAGCAUCAGUUUUUCGGGGUGGAUAAUGGUAGAGAGAAGGUAGCAGUUUCGGCUGUGUUAUAGCUCUUUACUGGAUACACCCUGGGGGACUGAGGAACGCAGUGUGCCUUUGGCGGGGGUUUCGACCUCUUCACACUUAGGAUGCUGGUGGAAUGGCUUUAAACGACCCGUCUUGAAACACG